UUAUCGUCAAACAAUAAAGAAGUGUGAACCUUGUCAGGUCCGGAAGGAAGCAGCAAUAAGCACUAAACUUUAUGUGUUUGACGACUUUUU
rnacentral:SRP_RNA from 1 species